CGUGACUCGGUCCCCCAGGUGGUCUCUGGUCGGUGAGGAUACUGCGAUGUGGGUAUAACACAACCUUAACUCCAAAACGGAACAAUCAUCUACAAAAGUAAAAGUAACGGCAUCUAUAUUGUAAAUCUGAAGAGAACCUGAGGGCAGUCCGUGCUGGCAAGUGGAGCCACCGCUGUUGCUGGAAACUGGCUGAUGCUCGCGUCGUGUUCUCGAACACUUGCCAGCGAGGUGAGCUGGCCUUUGCGGCUCUCGCGGGAGCCACGCCUGUCAUUUCGCUGCUUCGCUUCUGGAAACUUCGGUAACCAGAUUCAAGGAGCCUCCCGUGCUGUGACUUCUGGCGGUAACCACUCUAAGGACCGACCGCUAUCCUCUCAGAGGGGCUUCUUACGUUAGCCCGCCUAUCCCUGCUCUGUGUAACGGGGACUCCGCGUUAUCUGAGCGCAGCUCCCCUGUGUAAGGAGAGCCCCGGCGCCUGAGGGAGGCCGCCUCCGAAAUUGUGCGCAUGCGCAGCACCGUCUCCCACGGGCCCCCACGGAAGACACGCCUGAUUUUCCUUUGCAGUAAAUCCUGAGAGGCUCGCAAAGGAAAAGCAGGACCCAGAGGAGAAAACAAGGGCUCAGAGAUUCAAGCUUAAUAUCCUGCUUUUCAUAAAGUCAAAACUGCACCAAAAGAGAACUCAAAGAACACUGAACUGAACUCCAAAAGAAAACAUAUUACUUUUCUGAGACCAUUACUUAUUCACACAGCCGACUUGAUAAGAAAAAAAAAAAAUGACAUGCUAUCAAAUCUUCAUUUAUCCUAAAGUACGGUUCAGAUGACUUCAUAACUAUCUCUAUGAUAGAGU